GAGGCCUGGCCCAGUAGCAAAGUCAGGACUCUAGAGCCCGAUGUGGCGGACUGUUUGGGUUGCUUCAUCUCCCUUGGAGGGGCAGGAGGGAGUGGGCCUGUGGAAGAGCCCCAGGGCCCACUCUGCUUUCUUGGCCUGCCCAACGCAGAUGUCCCCCAAGUGGCUGUCUUUCCCAGUCCCACCGUUUGCUGAAGGGAGGUGUGGCCAUCUUUGGCUCCUCUGUGGGCAGCUGUGGCAAUGCACAGAGCAAGCCGCUUUGGGGGCAUGUUAGUGGCAGCCCAUUGUGGAAGGCUGAAAAUGGGCAAGCCAUGUGUGCCGGACUGAGGCCAAGUGUGCCGGGCUGAGGCCGUGUGUGCCGCACCGAGGCCGUGUGUGCCAGAAUUCUGCCGGCCUUCGCACACACUCAGCAGUCUCCCGAUAGGUGAGGGGAGAGUUUGUGAGGCCCACUCAGGAAGGAUGCAUGGAUGGAGGACGAGUUUACUGGUUUUACUGGUUUUGCUGCACAUUUUCCACCUGUGGCUCUCUUUUGCGCUCCUUCCUCCUGCUCUUUCCUUCCUCAUCCACCUCUUUUCCUCUCCUGGCUCUGUUGUUGCUUUUCCUCCACCCUCUUUCAACAUCCUUCUGCCUUGGCUGAUUCCAGGUAGCAAAAUAAAAAAUACAGUGAUACGUC